UACGGGGAGGCAGCAGUGGGGAAUAUUGCACAAUGGGCGAAAGCCUGAUGCAGCUAUGCCGCGUGUAUGAAGAAGGCCUUAGGGUUGUAAAGUACUUUCAUCGGGGAGGAAAAACAAAACUAAUAAUUUUAUUUCUUGACGUUACCCGAAAAAGAAGCACCGGCUAACUCCGUGCCAGCAGCCGCGGUAAUACGGAGGGUGCUAGCGUUAAUCAGAAUUACUGGGCGUAAAGAGCACGUAGGUGGUUUUUUUAAGUCAGAUGUGAAAUCCCCUGGGCUUAACCUAGGAACUGCAUUUUGAAACUGAAAUACUAGAGUAUCGUAGAGGGAGGUAGAAUUCUAGGUGUAGCGGUGAAAUGCGUAGAUAUCUGGAGGAAUACCUGUGGCGAAAGCGGCCUCCUAAACGAAUACUGACACUGAGGUGCGAAAGCGUGGGGAGCAAACAGGGAUUAGAUACCCGU
rnacentral:rRNA from 1 species